rnacentral:rRNA from 1 species
UACAGAGGUGGCAAGCGUUGUUCGGAAUUACUGGGCGUAAAGGGCGCGUAGGCGGCCACCGCAAGUCAAUUGUGAAAUCUCCGGGCUUAACUCGGAAAGGUCAACUGAUACUGCGGGGCUAGAGUGCGGAAGGGGCAACUGGAAUUCUCGGUGUAGCGGUGAAAUGCGUAGAUAUCGAGAGGAACACCUGCGGCGAAGGCGGGUUGCUGGGCCGACACUGACGCUGAUGCGCGACAGCGUGGGGGAGCAAACAGG